rnacentral:ncRNA from 1 species
CUGACGACUUGUAGAGCGCAAGUCAAUAAAAAAGAAUGCUCGCUGAGU